rnacentral:rRNA from 1 species
GUAGGUGGCAAGCGUUGUCCGGAAUUAUUGGGCGUAAAGCGCGCGCAGGCGGUCCUUUAAGUCCGAUGUGAAAGCCCACGGCUCAACCGUGGAGGGUCAUUGGAAACUGGGGGACUUGAGUACAGAAGAGGAAAGCGGAAUUCCAAGUGUAGCGGUGAAAUGCGUAGAGAUUUGGAGGAACACCAGUGGCGAAGGCGGCUUUCGGGUCUGUAACUGACGCUGAGGCGCGAAAGCGUGGGGAGCAAACAGGAUUAGAUACCCUGGUAGUCCACGCUGUAAACGAUGAGUGCUAAGUGUUAGGGGGUUUCCCGCCCCCCUUAGUGCUGCAGCUAACGCAUUAAGCACUCCGCCUGGGGGAGUACGGCCGCAAGGCUG